rnacentral:rRNA from 1 species
UACGUAGGAUGCAAGCGUUAUCCGGAAUUAUUGGGCGUAAAGAGUGUGUAGGUGGUCUAUCAAGUUAAAUGUUAAAUCUCAGGGCUCAACUCUGGGGCUGCAUUUAAGACUGAUAGACUUGAGGAUGGAAGAGGUAAGCGGAAUUAGUAGUGGAGCGGUGAAAUGCGUAGAUAUUACUAGGAACACCAGUGGCGAAGGCAAUCCCCUGGACCUGUACUGACGCUCAUGCACGAAAGCGUGGGGAGCAAACAGG